rnacentral:rRNA from 1 species
GACGAACCGUGCGAACGUUGUUCGGAUUCACUGGGCUUAAAGGGUGCGUAGGCGGGUUCUCGAGUCGGGGGUGAAAUCUUUCGGCCCAACCGGAAAAGGGCCUCCGAUACUGGGAACCUCGAGGGAGGUAGGGGCGCGCGGAACUCAGGGUGGAGCGGUGAAAUGCGUAGAUAUCCUGAGGAACGCCGGUGGCGAAAGCGGCGCGCUGGAUCUCUUCUGACGCUGAGGCACGAAAGCCAGGGGAGCAAACGGG